CUGAACUGUCGACACGAGUUGUUGCUGGUCCUCAAACGGGGGCAUGUGCACGCUCUGUUUACACAUCCACUCACACCUGUGCACCCUUAUGUAGUUCUAUGGUUUGGGGGACUCUGUCCUCCUGCCAUGGUUCUAUAUCUUUACACACACUCUGUAAUAAAGUCUUAUGGAAUGUAUACCGCGUUUAACGCAAUACAAUA
rnacentral:misc_RNA from 1 species